UUAACAGUUACUUGCAGUCUUCAGACUCUUCACAUCCCUGUGAACAUUUAUCGACAGUUAUUAAUUGAUUAUUUAGACUUCAGUCAGUAUAUAAGGAUCUGUUUAUUUGUUCACUGGAAAGCAUUGAAGGAAACAUCUUCCAAGUCCAGAGAUAAAUGGGAAAAAGUU